GCGGGGUAACGGCCCACCAAGGCAUCGACGGGUAGCUGGUCUGAGAGGACGAUCAGCCACACUGGGACUGAGACACAGCCCAGACUCCUACGGGAGGCAGCAGUGGGGAAUCUUGCGCAAUGGGCGAAAGCCUGACGCAGCAACGCCGCGUGGGGGACGAAGGCUCUCGGGUUGUAAACCCCUUUCAGGAGGGACGAAAAUGACGAUACCUCCAGAAGAAGCCCCGGCCAACUACGUGCCAGCAGCCGCGGUAACACGUAGGGGGCAAGCGUUGUCCGGAUUUAUUGGGCGUAAAGAGCUCGUAGGUGGCUCGGUAAGUCGGGUGUGAAAUCUCGAGGCUCAACCUCGAGACGCCACCCGAUACUGCCAUGGCUUGAGUCCGGUAGGGGAGCGUGGAAUUCCUGGUGUAGCGGUGAAAUGCGCAGAUAUCAGGAGGAACACCAGCGGCGAAGGCGGCGCUCUGGGCCGGUACUGACACUGAGGAGCGAAAGCGUGGGGAUCAAACAGGAUUAGAUACCCUGGUAGUCCACGCCGUAAACGUUGGGCACUAGGCGUGGGGCUCUAUCAACGGGUUCCGUGCCGCAGCUAACGCAUUAAGUG
rnacentral:rRNA from 1 species